rnacentral:lncRNA from 1 species
AUGACGUGCGGAGGCAGCGCGAUUUUUGAGUGGAGGGCGGAAGUAAACAUGGAGGACACUGUGGAGAGUCAGGAGAGCAGCUAUUGUGCAACUUUAGACCCCGUUUCUCGGGAGAGAUAUAAACAGAUAGUUAAAAAAUAUAUCGGACGUGAUCCGUAUUCUUUGAAAAUGUCCGAAUACACCACAGAAGUAAAGGAUUUGCCUACUAUCGAGGCUGUGGAUAUCACCAACUACUUGGUCCUCCAGACUUCUUACUACACUAGGCAGCAAAUGAAAGCUUUCAAGAGUCUGGAGGCGUACAAUUUUUUUGUCAGCGGGUGGGUCCACAACCUUGGAACAAAACGUCUCCGUGAUGGAUACAGUUUGGUGUUUGCAAGGCACAAUAUCUUACCUGGAUAAGUGAAUGUCUCAUUCACACUGAAGUCUUCUGGUUGUGGAUUCUCAGCUGGAAGCUGCAGUUCGGGGUUCUCCACUGUCACUAGGCUCAAAUCCGGGCUCUCAGCCGUCUGUUGCAUAUCCAAAAUCGCCUCUGCACAUCGAUGCUGUUCUGCCUUAAGCUUCAUUCUUUUCUCUCGUUUGAGAACUGAUUCCGAUCUGGGUUUUCGUUCGUAGCCGAGAUUGACCGUCGGAGCCCAGUCCUCCGACUCUUCGUCAUCCAAAGCACUUGGGCAGCCUAUAGUCCCAAUCAAGUCAAUAUUAGACUACUAACUUAAAAGCACUAAGUAAACGAGAAUUUAACGACAACCUAAUGCUAAUAAGUUCGUUUGCAAACAUAACAUUACCUCUGACGAAGUGGUCGCUGCAGACACGGGCAUUGGCAGACUCUGCUCCUCCCGACUGUAAACGUAAAUUUAAAAUCCAUUUUUUCCUACGUUUUUCGGUUAGAAUUUUCCAUUUUUCUCCUCUUCGUUGGGCUAUUUUUGGUACCCUAAAAUACCGUUUAUCGGUUUCUCUGGUCGACCUACUGGAGCAUCCGUAAACACAACAGGACAUAGGCAUUUUGCGUACUGUCUGUCUGUGAUUUUGCGCUUAUCUUUUUCACUUCCGACCGCCAGUCAAAUUUCGCGCUUUACGUCGACGUCACGUCUACGUCAAAUGAAACCUAGCUAUUGAUUUAUGUUGGUUUUCUGUAUUAUUGUGAAGCACUUUGGUGUGCCUUUGGGUUUUUAAAUGUGCAACAUAAAUAAAACUGUAUUGUAUUGUAUUAUUAACUUCACUGUUUUUCUUUAUAAAAAUGCUUUCUGAAAAUGAUCCUGACUGUUAUUUUCUGUUAAGAUACAGAUAGUUUGCUUUAUAUUGGUCACCCUGUUGUUCUCGUUGAAAAAAACAAACAAACAACAACUAAUAAGCAAUCAGAUAUAUUACUCU